rnacentral:misc_RNA from 1 species
GAUGAAGAACGUAGUGAAAUGCGAUAAGUAAUGUGAAUUGCAGAAUUCAGUGAAUCAUCGAAUCUUUGAACGCACCUUGCGCUCUUUGGCCAUUCCAAGGAGCAUGCCUGUUUGAGUGUCAUUGAAUCCUCAAGGGCCCCCUUUCUUCCGAGGGGGGGGGACUUUGGACUUGGGAGCGCUGCGGCCGCCGGGCUUUCCUCCGGCUCCGCUCUCCUCAAACGCAUCAGUAGGGCCCCUCAUCCCUUCGGGUCUUUUGCGGCGUUGAUAGUCGUCUACGCCUCUGCCCCGUCGGGUCUCACCUGCUCCUCAACCCCACAUUCUCCUUUGAACGCUUUGACCUCAAAUCAGGUAGGACUACCCGCUGAACUUAAGCAUAUCAAUAAGCGGAGGA